AGAAGGAAGAAGAGGACCAACUCCAGAGAUAUCUUCUGACCACCUCCGCGUGUGGCCCCCAUCUCAGCCACACACAGAGACAGACAAAAAUAAAUGUGGCAAAUACAAAUUACUGUCAGAAUAAACGACUGUGUAUCUGUCUGUCUGCCUGCUUGCCUACCUUCCUACCCAUUUUUACGUUUAGAGCCCAGACCUUAGUACCUGUUAGACAAGCAUCGUGGUAUAUACUGAGUGUCUUCACCAGCCCCUAAGCUAGUAUUUAAAGACUAUGGCUGAGGAAUGGGCUAAUGGACAUAGACAUCGCUCCCAAAUCACUUUUGCACCUCUCUGCCCCUCUCUACCUCUACAAGGGACAGCCAUCUACUCUACAGCUCUUUGUAGUGACUGGGACAUAGGGUUACAACUUCAUCAAUCCGAGGCCCGUCUCCUUGUCUUACACAGUGAAUUUACCCAUGAGAUUUAGGACACUUUUACCAUAAUAUUUAUUCCGUUUUAUGGCUUUAAAUAUAACACUAACUCCUAAUAAUCAAUAUUGAUUUAACUAUAAUACCUUAUUUAUAGACAGUCCCCUGGUUUGCAUAUGGACUCAUGCUAUAAUGGAAGAGAAAUCAGCCGCGCACUCUCCUGGACCCUGGCCAGCACCAUCAGCCUCUAAUGAAUGGCUGUGAGGCCAAGAUGACGUUUGUAGUUUGUGAUGUUCUCUGAUCCCCACCCCCACCAACAUGGUUUCCUCGUGCCCACUAAUGGGCCACUGGGGGCCAGGCAUGCCCAUUCUGAUGUCCUGCCAUCAAUCUUAGGCUACAAACACCCCAAAUGUAGAGACAACCAGCUCUAAGCAGAAGUGUGAAUGGCAAUGAGACUUUGGUGGGUAGAGGAAUAUCUAGAUGUAGAAAGGCUAAGCUGGGACUUGGAAAGACAGAGAUGUGGCCCUACCUCAUCCCAAGAGGCUCUGGGGAGGCUCUCUCACGAUGUUAUUAUUGUGGCUAAUAGAAGUUUCUGGGCAGCAAAGGCUGCAGCCAUCUCUUGUAGGGAUGGGCACUGGCCUGGUCACUGUGAUCUGGUGUGGUACAGGUUUGUGUUGAAGGGUAGAAGUCAGACCUUUCUCUGGAGAAAAGACAGUAGAGAAGCGGGAGAAGUUAAGGAGUUAACUUGGAUGCAUUUGCCCAAUGACUGUCCUCUACUAACUAGGACUUAAUGUCUAUUGUCCAGAACAUGGCCCCCCUCUCAGAAGCUUCUGGAAUCUUCACUCUAUUUGAUGAGGAUGGUAUUUAUAUCCUGCAGACUCUCUGUGAACACACACACACACACACACACACACACACACACACACAGAGAGAGAGAGAGAGAGAGACAGACAGACAGACAGACAGACAGACAGACUAUUUAUUCAUUUACACAUCUGAGAACAGCUCAAGAUUCCCCAAGGCUUCAGCCCCAUAAAUCAUCUCUUGACCUUGGUUACAAAUUAGGGUGAACCCCAGGACUUCUGGAGGAGUCUGGCUAUUUUUCAAUUCAUGUAACACAGAGGGUGUAGUAGUUGGAGCUAGUGAUGGUUUGUUUUAACUGACUACUUCCUACAACCUAGGAGAGCCAGUUGGCACGCAGCAUGUCUGUCAGAGAUUGUCUUCAUUGUUAAUUAAGGUGGGAAGAGCCCAAUGUGGGCAGCACCAUUUCAUGAGCUGGGCUUUAAACUGAGUAAGAGAAAACUAGCUGGGUAGCAACUGGGGAGAGAGAGAGAGACAGAGAGAGAGACAGAGACAGAGAGAGACAGAGAGAGAGAGACAGAAAGACAGAGAGAGAGAGACAGAGACAGAGAGAGACAGAGAGAGCCAACAAGGACCCACGUCCCUUCUGUUCUUGACUGUGGGUGGGAAGCUUCUUUGGAAUCAUGGACUACCACCUGCAGUUAUAAGACAAAUAGGUCCCCUGUCCCCUGUGCUGCUUUCUGUCAGGAUGUUUUGUUGUAGCAACAGGAAGGAUACUAGGAUAGAGCUCCUGUAGGUAUUUUGGCACUGUUUGGCCCACGAA
rnacentral:lncRNA from 1 species